GCCGCGGUUGCCUAGUGGUUAUGGUGUUUGACUGCUGACCAAAAGGUCCUGGGAUCGAAUCCUGGCGGCGGCG